rnacentral:rRNA from 1 species
AUUGAACGCUGGCGGCAGGCUUAACACAUGCAAGUCGAGCGCGCGGCGGACGGGUGUGUAAUGUCUGGGAAACUGCCUGAUGGGGGGGGAUACCUCCUGGAAACGGUAGCUAAUACCGCAUACCAUCAACUGACCCCAGAGGGGAUUAGCUAGUAGGUGGGGUAAUGGCUCACCUGCGAGCAGAUCCCUAGCGGGUAUGAGAGGAUGACCAGCCACACGGGAACUGAGACACGGUCCAGACUCCUACGGGAGGCAGCAGUGGGGAAUAUUGCACAAUGGGCGCAAGCCUGAUGCAGCCAUGCCGCGUGUGUGAAGAAGGCCUUCGGGUUGUAAAGCACUUUCAGCGAGGAGGCGUUACUCGCAGAAGAAGCACCGGCUAACUCCGUGCCAGCAGCCGCGGUAAUUC